rnacentral:ncRNA from 1 species
AACUAUGACUCAACCUUCUGAGGGUCAUGAGAGCGGUGCGAAAGCAUAACGCUAGUCCGGUUUGGGCGACACUGUCAAAAUGCGGGGACUCCCUAAAGCAUUCACUACUAAGCACGACUCGAAAGCGUCGUGUGGCCGAGCUAAUAGCCCUGGGUAGAGUAACAACGUGAAUGAUGGACCAAUGGGUAAUCCGCAGCCAAGUCCUACGGGCCAUCGAGCCUAUGGAUGCAGUUCAACGACUAGACGGCAGUGGGUGCGGAAACGCGCUUAAGGUAUAGUCUACUCCUCUCGCGAAAGCAGAGG